CCUACGGGUGGCAGCAGUGGGGGAUAUUGCACAAUGGGGGGAACCCUGAUGCAGCGACGCCGCGUGGGUGAAGAAGCGCCUCGGCGCGUAAAGCCCUGUCAGCAGGGAAGAAAAUGACGGUACCUGAAGAAGAAGCCCCGGCUAACUACGUGACAGCAGCCGCGGCAAUACGUAGGGAGCACGCGUAAUCCGGAUUUACUGGAUGUAAAGGGGGCGCAGAGGGCGAUACAAGACAGGAGUGAAAGCCCGGGGCCCAACCCCGGGAUUGCUCUUGAAACUGCGUGGCUGGAGUGCAGGAGGGGCAGGCGGAAUUCCUGGUGUAGCGGUGAAAUGCGUAGAUAUCAGGAAGAACACCGGUGGCGAAGGCAGCUUGCUGGACUGCAACUGACGUUGAGGCCCGAAAGCGUGGGGAGCAAACAGGAUUAGAUACCCUUGUAGUC
rnacentral:rRNA from 1 species